CGCCGCGUGAGUGAUNGACGGUCUUCGGAUNUGUAAAGCUCUGUCUUUGGGNACGAUAAUGACNGUACCCAAGGAGGAAGCCACGGCUAACUACGUGCCAGCAGCCGCGGUAAUACGUAGGUGGCGAGCGUUGUCCGGAUUUACUGGGCGUAAAGGGAGCGUAGGCGGAUUUUUAAGUGGGAUGUGAAAUACCCGGGCUCAACCUGGGUGCUGCAUUCCAAACUGGGAAUCUAGAGUGCAGGAGGGGAGAGUGGAAUUCCUAGUGUAGCGGUGAAAUGCGUAGAGAUUAGGACCAACACCAGUGGCGAAGGCGACUCUCUGGACUGUAACUGACGCUGAGGCUCGAAAGCGUGGGGAGCG
rnacentral:rRNA from 1 species